rnacentral:rRNA from 1 species
UACGGGAGGCAGCAGUGGGGAAUAUUGCACAAUGGGCGCAAGCCUGAUGCAGCCAUGCCGCGUGUAUGAAAAAGGCCUUCGGGUUGUAAAGUACUUUCAGUCGUGAGGAAGGUGUUAAGGUUAAUAACCUUAGCAAUUGACGUUAGCGACAGAAGAAGCACCGGCUAACUCCGUGCCAGCAGCCGCGGUAAUACGGAGGGUGCGAGCGUUAAUCGGAAUUACUGGGCGUAAAGGGCACGCAGGCGGUUAAUUAAGUUGGAUGUGAAAUCCCCGGGCUUAACCUGGGAAUGGCAUUCAAGACUGGUUAGCUAGAGUCUUGUAGAGGGGGUAGAAUUCCAUGUGUAGCGGUGAAAUGCGUAGAGAUGUGGAGGAAUACCGGUGGCGAAGGCGGCCCCUGGCAAAGGACUGACGCUCAUGUGCGAAAGCGUGGGGAGCGAAACAGGGAUUAGAUACC